rnacentral:rRNA from 1 species
GCUUGUCUCAAAGAUUAAGCCAUGCAUGUCUAAGUACAAGCCUCAGUAAGGUGAAACCGCGAAUGGCUCAUUAAAUCACACCUAAUCUACUGGAAAGUUACUAGUUACUUGGAUAACUGAGGUAAUUCUUGAGCUAAUACAUGCGAAAAAUCUCGACUCACGGAGAGAUGCUUUUAUUAGAUCAAAACCAAUACGGAGCAAUCCGUUUCUUGGUGAUUCAUAAUAACUUUGCGGAUCGCAUGGCCUUGUGCCGGCGAUGAAUCAUUCAAAUUUCUGCCCUAUCAACUUUCGAUGGUAAGGUAUUGGCCUACCAUGGUUACCACGGGUAACGGGGAAUUAGGGUUCGGUUCCGGAGAGGGGGCCUGAGAAAUGGCCACCACAUCCAAGGAAGGCAGCAGG